GUCUAUGGCCAUACCACCCUGAAUGCACCCGAUCUCGUCUCAUCUCAGAAGCUAAGCAGGGUUGGGCCUGGUUAAUACUUGGAUAGGGGAAAACUACAGACCAAUGUCC
rnacentral:rRNA from 1 species